UGCUCCUACCCGGAAGGUGUGAGGCCCGCCCAGGAUUGCCGCGCAGGUGAUACCGCUCUCCCAAGAUCCAGGCUGGGUUGCCAGGUGUUGGUUCGCAACCUGGGCCCUGUAUGUGGAGGCCAAGGAGGCCCAAAGGUAGAAUGUUGCAGAUUGAGCCACUUAUACAAUGGGGAGGAAGAUAGGAAGAGGGAAGAACGCGGCUAACAGCGAGUACCAGAUGAGAAUUCACCAUGGGGUAUGCUGUCUUGAUUGACGUAGUUUUACACAUACUUUAUUUUAGGUAUAUAAUACACCACUACUGAGACUGAGGAAAGUACAAGUAACUGAACCUGGGAAUGAUAAAGGAAACAUUGCUAGUUCAACCAAAAAGAAAAAAGAUGAUGAUUCUGUGAAAAAGUGUAUGCCAAGGAAUUUCAUAGCUUAAAGGAAAUGCGUAAUUUUUUUUGGACGACAAUUAUAUUACCUGACACAAGAAGAAAUAGAAAAUUAGAGUAUUCCCAAGUCUAUUAAAGAAAUUGAAUGUGUUAUUAAAAACCUUUCUAUGAAGGAAACUUCUAUUUCAGAUUCAUGAAAGAAUUCUACCAACAUAAGAAGAAAUAACACCUAUGUUGAACAAAGUUUUCCAAAGUACACAGAAAAAAGGCAACAUUUCUUAACAAUUGUUUAAAAUUAAUAAAAUCUUGAUGCCAAAGCUGUUAAACAUAUAUAAUAAAGGAAAUUAUAAAUCAGUCUCUUUUUAUAUACAUAAAUUAUUGAUAUUUAGUGUAUUGGGAAA